rnacentral:rRNA from 1 species
UACGGGGGGGAGCAGGCGUUGUUCGGAUUUACUGGGCGUAAAGGGCGCGUAGGCGGCCACCGCAAGUCGACUGUGAAAUCUCCGGGCUUAACCCGGAAAGGUCAGCCGAUACUGCGGGGCUAGAGUGCAGAAGGGGCAACUGGAAUUCUCGGUGUAGCGGUGAAAUGCGUAGAUAUCGGGAGGAACACCAGUGGCGAAGGCGACUACCUGGCCUGUUCUUGACGCUGAGGCGCGAAAGCUAGGGGAGCAAACGGGG